CAAACACAGCCACACCAGGAGAUAUAUGAGACAAUCCCAACAGACACAAAGACGUCAACAACAUCUCCACCUGUUCAUUCCUAUUGUUUUAUAAAAAUAGCUUAUGUGCUCAAUGUCAACAUGCCAACGCUAUUGUCUUCUUAUGAGAAAUACAUAUAUUCGUUUAAAACCCAUUAAGACCUAAAUACUAAUUGUCACUCAUUUUAUAGUUAUUUCUACAAGUCUUCAUAUAUUUGUUUUAAAGGUCCGGUAAAAACAACAAGUUUAAAAGUAAAAAAACAUAUAACCAACCUAAUAAGAAUAAAAAAUUAUUAUUUAAUACACACAACUUACACAACUAAACUGGAGAAAAAAUAUCCAGAAACAAAAAGUGCUCUCAACAACCUUAAUAUAAUUUAUGUAAUCUCAUUAGUACAAGUAACAAAUUAAAAAGACAAACAAACAAUAAGUCUCAGUGACACAACAAGCAACAACAAGCAACAACACGAACUAUAUCAAUCACAUUACUAACACAAUUUAGUCCUUCAUGAGUAAAGAACAGUGCAUACACAGUACAUCAUUACAACUCUAACUCUAUAACAAUAAAAAAC
rnacentral:lncRNA from 1 species